rnacentral:rRNA from 1 species
GUCUCUGUGUGCUUUUAUAUAGAGUCUGGCCUGCCCAAUGGUGUAAAACUUAAUGGCCGCGGUAUUUUGACCGUGCAAAGGUAGCAUAAUAAUUAGUCUUUUAAUUGAAGGCUGGAAUGAAAGGUCGAACAAAAGGAUGGCUGUCUCUGAACCAAAUCUUGAACUUGACAUUUAAGUGAAAAGGCUUAAAUAUUUUGAGGGGACGAUAAGACCCUAUAAAUCUUUAUAUUUACCUUCGCGGGGGGAAAAAAUUAAAUAAUUUUUGUUCGGUGGGGGUAAGUAUUUUGCUGGGGCGGCAGGAAUAUAAGUUGUAACUGUUCUACAAAUGCGGUUAAAGAUAUUUAAUUAAGUGGUCCCUUAAUAUGGAUGCUAGUUUAAGUUACUUUAGGGAUAACAGCGUAAUCCUUUUUGAGAGUUCAUAUCGAAAAAAGGGGUUGCGACCUCGAUGUUGAAUUAAAGUCCUUCGCGGAUGUAGGUCCUGCGAAAAGGAGGUCUGUUCGACCUUUAAACCUUUACAUGAUUUGAGUUCAAACCGGCGUAAG